UGAGGAGGUACCUAAACCAUCUAAUCAGAUUCGUACACUAAUUGAUGCUAUUGGCUAUGUUAUUCCUUGGCCAAUUACACAUGUGAAGCAAGCUAGAAGCUCAUCUUGUACCCGCAACAAGUUGGUACCUGCAGCACAUGGACAAAGCUAGAUGGCGUGGACAAAGCUAGAUAGGAAGCCUAGUAUAAUUGCAAAGUGAAUUAGUUAGAUUCUAGUAGUUACUAAAAUUUUUAAGUGAUAUUUGUAUGAUAUUGCCACUUUGGCUUUGCUUCUUUGUGAACACAAUUGGCAGUUACUGAACAUGUUUGCUAUCGAGUUAGUUAGCUUCUUGAUAUUUUGCCAAGGCCAAAAGCAAUAUUAUUGAGGGUUUAUAA